rnacentral:tRNA from 1 species
GCCCUGGUGGUCAAGUGGUUAAAAUCUGGCACUCUUACUGCCGAGGCCUGGGUUUGUUUCCUGGUCAGGGAA